AUACGGAGGGUGCAAGCGUUAAUCGGAAUUACUGGGCGUAAAGCGUACGUAGGCGGUUCGUUAAGUUAGAUGUGAAAGCCCCGGGCUUAACCUGGGAACUGCAUUUAAAACUGGCGGACUAGAGUUGAGUAGAGGGGAGUGGAAUUUCAGGUGUAGCGGUGAAAUGCGUAGAGAUAUGAAGGAACACCAGUGGCGAAGGCGACUCCCUGGACUCGAACUGACGCUGAGGUACGAAAGCGUGGGUAGCAAACGGGAUUAGAAACCCCAGUAGUCC
rnacentral:rRNA from 1 species